UGGGGAAUAUUGCACAAUGGGCGCAAGCCUGAUGCAGCCAUGCCGCGUGUAUGAAGAAGGCCUUCGGGUUGUAAAGUACUUUCAGUCGGGAGGAAGGUGUCAAGGUUAAUAACCUUGGCAAUUGACGUUACCGACAGAAGAAGCACCGACUAACUCCGUGCCAGCAGCCGCGGUAAUACGGAGGGUGCAAGCGUUAAUCGGAAUUACUGGGCGUAAAGCGCACGCAGGCGGUUGAUUGAGUCAGAUGUGAAAUCCCCGGGCUUAACCCGGGAAUUGCAUCUGAUACUGGUCAGCUAGAGUCUUGUAGAGGGGGGUAGAAUUCCAUGUGUAGCGGUGAAAUGCGUAGAGAUGUGGAGGAAUACCGGUGGCGAAGGCGGCCCCCUGGACAAAGACUGACGCUCAGGUGCGAAAGCGGGGGGAGCAAACAGG
rnacentral:rRNA from 1 species